rnacentral:rRNA from 1 species
GACGAACGCUGGCGGCGUGCCUAAUACAUGCAAGUCGAGCGAGCUUGCCUAGAUGAAUUUGGUGCUUGCACCAAAUGAAACUAGAUACAAGCGAGCGGCGGACGGGUGAGUAACACGUGGGUAACCUGCCCAAGAGACUAGGAUAACACCUGGAAACAGAUGCUAAUACCGGAUAACAACACUAGACGCAUGUCUAGAGUUUAAAAGAUGGUUCUGCUAUCACUCUUGGAUGGACCUGCGGUGCAUUAGCUAGUUGGUAAGGUAACGGCUUACCAAGGCAAUGAUGCAUAGCCGAGUUGAGAGACUGAUCGGCCACAUUGGGACUGAGACACGGCCCAAACUCCUACGGGAGGCAGCAGUAGGGAAUCUUCCACAAUGGACGCAAGUCUGAUGGAGCAACGCCGCGUGAGUGAAGAAGGGUUUCGGCUCGUAAAGCUCUGUUGGUAGUGAAGAAAGAUAGAGGUAGUAACUGGCCUUUAUUUGACGGUAAUUACUUAGAAAGUCACGGCUAACUACGUGCCAGCAGCCGCGGUAAUACGUAGGUGGCAAGCGUUGUCCGGAUUUAUUGGGCGUAAAGCGAGUGCAGGCGGUUCAAUAAGUCUGAUGUGAAAGCCUUCGGCUCAACCGGAGAAUUGCAUCAGAAACUGUUGAACUUGAGUGCAGAAGAGGAGAGUGGAACUCCAUGUGUAGCGGUGGAAUGCGUAGAUAUAUGGAAAAACACCAGUGGCGAAGGCGGCUCUCUGGUCUGCAACUGACGCUGAGGCUCGAAAGCAUGGGUAGCGAACAGG